rnacentral:tRNA from 1 species
GGGAUGGUGGCUUAAUGGUAGAGUGCUUGCCUAGCAUGCAUGAAGCCCUGGGUUCAAUUCCUCAGUACCA